UUCCUUUUAAAGUUUUCUUUUUCAGAGGGCAAUAUGAAUGUUCAUGUUCUAUCAUGUUCCAUCAACACACUAAAAGGGUUAUAUGAUAUAUCCGGUGUGGAAGUAGGCCAGCAUUUCUAUUGGAAAAUAGGAGGUUUCCAAGUCCAUGCCCAAGUACUUAUUACUUCUUGGGUUGUAAUUGCUAUCUUAUUAGGUUCCGCCAUUGUAGCUGUUCGGAACCCACAAACCAUUCCGACUGGCGGUCAGAAUUUCUUCGAAUAUGUUCUUGAAUUCAUUCGAGAUGUGAGCAAAACUCAGAUUGAGAGGAAUACGGUCCAUGGGUCCCCUUUAUUGGAACUAUGUUUCUAUUUAUUUUUGUUUCUAAUUGGGCGGGGGCGCUUUUACCUUGGAAGAUCAUAGAAUUACCUCAUGGGGAGUUAGCCGCACCUACGAAUGAUAUAAAUACUACCGUUGCUUUAGCUUUACUUACGUCAAUAGCAUAUUUUUAUGCGGGCCUUAGCAAAAAGGAUUAGGUUAUUUCGGUAAAUACAUUCAACCAACUCCAAUCCUUUUACCCAUUAACAUUUUAGAAGAUUUCACAAAACCUUUAUCGCUUAGCUUUCGACUUUUCGGAAAUAUAUUAGCGGAUGAAUUAGUAGUUGUUGUUCUUGUUUCUUUAGUACCUUUAGUGGUUCCUAUACCUGUCAUGUUCCUUGGAUUAUUUACAAGUGGUAUUCAAGCUCUUAUUUUUGCAACUUUAGCUGCGGCUUAUAUAGGCGAAUCCAUGGAAGGGCAUCAUUGACUAAUUUUCAAAAUAGUCUUUUUUUUUAGCUUUUAGUGUAAGGCAAUCUAUGCCUUGUUCAAGAUAAUCUACUUACACUUAGUGAACAUAAAUAUACACACAUAAAUCGACAAAAAUCAAAAGGUCUAUACAAUCUAAAGGAAUAGUAAAAACUAAAGGAAAAAAAAGAUUACGAUAUUAAAUUAAUUGUAAAAAAAAGGAAAGAGAUCUAAAGGAUCUUUGACCAAAGGAAACUAUUAAUAAAUAAGAAAUUACAUGAACUUAGAUCAACCAAAACUUCUAUGCAAUGAUUCAGACUCAUGAAUUCUUCCAUUUAGAUUGAUUGUAUCCGUGUGGGAUAAAUGAUAAGGAAGAGAAGAAUUUACGAAAAAUGAGAUUAAGAAAAACGAAAUGGGUUGUUUGGGAGAGUGGAAUCAAACUAGGUGUAUGUAAUAUAUAUAUUGGCUAUAAGCCCAUUUUCUUUUGUGAAUGUUUCAAAAAUGAUUUUAGAAUCCGAUUGAAUCUAAGAUAUGAAUAGUUGGUUUACGUUAUGUAAGAAGGACGUGUAUAUGGAAUAUUAAGUAUUAACUAGUUAUCUAUGAGUUAAAAGAUAUAUCUAAUCUGCCCUACUACGGGAGAUUUAGAUAGAGAUUCCAAGAAAAGUCCUUCCUUUUUUUUUCGUUUGUAACUGUGGAAUUGAAUAUUGAAUAAAGAGAUUAAAUCAAGAAAAAGAAUGAAAAGUUCGAAUUCAAAGAAUGAUUCGGAACAAAGAAAGAAAUGGAAAAACAAAAAAGUUGUAUGAAUUCACAAAAACUUUGUGGAUAGGAACUAAAAAAUAGAUAUCGAAGUAGUUCUGAUGAUUCAAUAAUAUUAUUACUUCAAUUCGGAGUUCUUAGUUACUUCGACUGGAUGAAAAUCUUAUUGAUGGAAUGAAUAAUUAAGUCAUAAUUUAUUGAUUGAUUGUAUCAUUAACCAUUUCUUUAAUUUUAUUUUUGUGCGAGGAACUUAUCAUGAAUCCAUUGAUUUCUGCCGCUUCCGUUAUUGCUGCGGGUUUGGCCGUUGGGCUUGCUUCUAUUGGACCUGGGGUUGGUCAAGGUACUGCCGCGGGCCAAGCUGUAGAGGGUAUCGCAAGACAACCUGAGGCGGAGGGAAAAAUACGAGGUACUUUAUUGCUUAGUCUGGCUUUUAUGGAAGCUUUAACAAUUUAUGGACUAGUUGUAGCAUUAGCACUUUUAUUUGCGAAUCCUUUUGUUUAAUCUUAUAAAAAAAUACGUAUUUUUUUAUUGUCUUGGGCUUGCUGGUUGUUUUUCGAAUUAUAUCAAGAUCUCAUUCCUACAAUUACUUAUUUAUUUUUAUUGGGACAAUAACCCACGGGAAGGACUGAUUUGAGGACGAGAAAUUAGUAUACUAACUCGCUUUCUUCCUUCCCCCCCCCUCUUAGUACAAUCGAAACCUUUUUUUAAGGAAAUGCUGCAACAGGAUAUAAUAUAUUAUUUUGUUUUGUUUUGCAAUUGACACGAGACCUGGUACCAAAUUCUAAACUGAAUUUUACUAAGAACAAUACUUAUUAGAGAUUUCAAAUAAAAUAAAUAUAAAUAAUAGAAAUUCUAUAAUCUAUAAAUAUACUAUAAAUAUAAAAAUCGAAAAUAAUAGAAAUAAAAUAAUAAAUGAAUAUAUAAAUAUAUAGAAUAUAGAAAUAAAAUGUGGAAUAGAAUAAAAAAAAAUAAAAAUAUAUAAUUAGAUAAUUAGUCUGUCUAUAGUCGACAAGAAAAGAGGAGAUCCUAUGAAAAAUGUAACCGAUUCUUUCGUUUCCUUGGGUCACUGGCCAUCCGCCGGGAGUUUCGGAUUUAAUACCGAUAUUUUAGCAACAAAUCCAAUAAAUCUAAGUGUAGUCCUUGGUGUAUUGAUUUUUUUUGGAAAGGGGGUGUGUGCGAGUUGUUUAUUUCAAGAAUAGGCUGGAUUGAACCAGCUGCGCUUUUUUUGUUUUAACUAGGAAAGACAAGGUGCAUGAUCCCGCGAAUUACUUCUGAAUAAAUUAAGAAAUCAUCUUUAAGAACCAUAGCAGUUCGUGAUUCAUGGGUAAAGUAAAUAUGCUUUGAUUCUCUAUCAACCAAUAACGUGGGACCAUUAAUAUGGUUAAAGCUAAACUGUUUAAAGUCUAGAUGCAGCAAGGUACUCUUUCUACUACUAUGUUAAUACAUAUGUUAAUACAAAAAUAAGUUCAAAAUGAAUAGUUGGAAAUUGUUUUCGGUAUAGAACACUCAUGUCGAAAAAAAGAUUUGAACCCUUUUUUUGUUUUGAAAAAUGGGUAUUUCACUCAUUCUUAUCCAAUGGGUAUUUCACUCAUUCUUAUCCAAUGCUGAGCCGAUAACCUAUGCAUUAAAGUAAAUUCUUUGGAUUUGAAGAAAAAAAAAA